CACCAUCCUGAACCUUUGGGCUCCAGGCAAAUUGGGGCUCAUCCCCGGGUAGUCUCAGGACUAAGCGGAAGUAAGUCUCCACAGAUCCAGUACCCGAUUAGACCCAGGCCUUUCGGGAAGGCCCGGAUUUAAUGGGGUAUUUAAUUAAUUCAGGAUAACUGAGUUUAUUCCAAAUUAAUUCAUUUUUACUGAAGGUAUCAUUUGGAUGCCUUUUGUAAAAACCCAGUCAGAUUCUGUGUUUUGAGCCGGUCUGGGUCCUUAGACCUCUUCUAUACUGCCAUAUAUUCCAGGAUUUGAUCCCAGAUUAUCAUCUCAUCCCAGAUUAUACGACAGUGGAGACUCAUAUAAUCCAGUUCAAAGCAGAUAACCUAGGAUGAAAUGGUGGAAUAUAAUAUUAUUUGAAGGGGUCUAAGGUCCCUUCCAUAUUGCCUCUGUAUCCCACGAUCUGAUCCAAGAUUAUCUUCUUAUUCCAGCUUAUCUGGCAGUGGAGACUCAGUUUAAAGCAGAUAAUCUGAGAUCAUAUCCUUGGAUAAAGGGCAGUGUAGAAGGGACCAAAGUAACCCUCCUAGUCUGGAUCUACGCUGCCAUAUAAUCCAAAUAAAGCAGAUAAUCUGGAGUUUAUAUGGCAGUGUAGAUGGGGUCCAAACUACAAAUCCUAUAAUUCCAUAGCAUGAUGCUAUGACUGCCACAAUGGUAUCAAAUUUACAUAACUGUAUAAUGUCAAUACACUUUCAAUUUACAUCGAUAAUUCUUUUCUUCUUCUUUUGGCACCCUUCCCCAAAUUACUGAAGAACACAUUGAUUGAUUGAUUGAUUGAUUGACUGAUUCCUCACUCACUCCUCCUAGGUUGGAACAGAAGAUAGCAGUAUUUUUGUGCUUCUCAAACUCUUUUUUUCCAUGCAAGAAAAUAAACCCUUUUCAGUUCAGCUUUAAUCUUUGAAUAUUAAACAGAUAUACUUCUGAGUUUAGGAGCUGGAAUUUAGCCUCGUAGAAUAUUUAGUUUGGGGCUUUUUCAUGUCUCCUAGCUGCCAUAGCCUAAUCUUAAUCUUACUGCCUAUUUCAUUAAAACCAAAAUAUCCUCUCUUUUUUCCUAGGGCUUUGAAAGGUCUUUGAUAUAUGGUUCAUGAAUUCUUGUUUUGUUUUGAAUUCCACUACCUUGUUCCAGUGACUAACAUUAAUUUAUCAGCACGCCAACAGGGCAGCACUUACAAUCUUCAGAUGAUGAAUUUAAAAAAUGAACAUCACUUUCUGUAGAAAAUCUUUCAUCUUCUUUUGCUCUGUCAAGGAUUACCAAUUUAUCAUGGACAUUUCAAGCCACUUUGGUGAGAAGUCAGAGCCUGCUGAGAUUACUGAUCUCAUUAAUGUCUCUUUUCUAUUUAUAUCUCUUUUAAAAAAGGGGAAAGGGAAAAGUAUGCUCCUCAUGACUCAUGAGCUCUGUCAUUGUUUCUCUUGUUAUAUAUGAUACCACUGUGUAUAGGCAACUUUGAAAAAGUUGAGAAUAACUGUAAAAUAAUUGUGUGCUAACAACAAGUUGUAAGGACCAAUUAAUUUAGAAAGUGACAAAAAAAACAUCUGUUUUCCAUUAACACAUAAUGAUGAAUCCAAUAGCUCACAACUGCAAUUAAAGUAGGGAGUUGUCCUAUAUGACUUUUGGGUCUCUUCCAAUCCUCCAAUUAUUUUAUUCCAAAAGAAAUGUUAAAUAUAUAAUGGCUGGGUGCACAAACAUGGGACUUUAUCACAAAGAGGUGGCAAGCUGGCACAGUAGCAGAAGUCAUCUUUGCUGACGGUCCUCAUCACGUGAGAUUGUGUGAUACCUGUUACUGGUAUGCCAUUUCCCCAUAAUGAAGCUGUCAGGGGCUAUUAAAGGGCAAAGCCCAUGAAUAGCUCCUGAUCAUGCCACAGUCCAGGGACUUACCUCUGUGAGAUAAAAGCCUGAGAUCCUUCAGCUUCUAUGGUGGCAUCCAUUGCUCUCCCCUGAGGAAUUGUUUGUUUAAAAAAUCUUCCCUACAGUAAUGCUUGUAGUGAAAAUAAAAUAAAAGAAAUACAAAGGCAGAAAGCAGCACAGUGGGAUGAUGGAAUUAUUCUGAUCACCGAGAUGUGGAGCUUUUGCACAGCCAAGAUGCCGCAAAUGCAUGAUGUCAGCAGCUGUCUAAUAUUGUCAUCACUGGCCACCACUAUCAAAAGAAUUAGGCUCAAUACCACUGGAUAGUCAGGAAUCCCUCCUGCAUCCACAGCAGUUGAGGGGUGUGGCAAUCUAAACCAUUCUGGAUCAAUACCAGGAUAGCUGGUCAGUGUAGAACCACCUUUGCACUCACCUUCCCAGUAGGCGGAAGCAAAAGCAACUGCCGCACCCUCUCCUAGCACGUGUGUUUGCUUCAUUAAUAGCUUUUGCUAUCUUGACCAUAUUUUGAUGUUGUUUUCGUACACAUGUCCUGGUUUUUCACAUUUGAAAAGUUUAGGGAUGUGCGGAAAAAGGACCAAACUUGACAAGAUUAAAAAUGUUGUUGACCACUACCUUACUGAGUAUACAGCAGAGAUGGUGGCAUUCCAUUUUUCAGCUGAAUCUCUUAACUACUGUACUCCACUUGCAGAAUGAAAAGAGCCUUUUGCUUCUCAUGUGAAUCAUUCACACAAGUUUAUCAACUUAACAAGAGAGAACGAAAGCUCCUUUUCUCCCUUCUGCACACUCUUACCUUGCCAAUAAUCAUCCAUUUGAAAAGAUUUAGUUGGAGACACACAGCUAUUCUCUCUGCUCUUAAUGUCAGUCCAUGUCAGUCCUCCAGAUGUUUUCUAGGAGCAUUAUUUCAACAUAAUUUCUAUUACGCAAAAUGUGUUUUGCAUGUUUCCCCAUCAAAGAGAGUGGGAGACUCUCAACAAUAGUGCCUCCAAGUUUUCAAUUUGCAUUUUCAUUGCACCUAGGAAAGCUGCUCUAUGAGAGAACAUUGACUUUUGCAGAUAAAAAUAAACCGAAAGAGCUUUAAUGCUCUGGCACCAUGCCAACAUUUCAUCAUUUCAUUCUCCGAGACGCUUAUGGGCUAUAACUCAAAUUUAAUGAUCUGAUUCAUUGGAAUGAUAAAGACCCUAGCAUUGGGUUAGGUCCCCCCCUAUUUUUUGUCAAAAGAAAAUGUAUUUGCUUCUACUGAAGUAGCCUCACCUACCAAGCUGCUAGUCCCUGACAGAUUGCAGUCACCAAAGAAAGUGUCUGAGGCACCUGAAGAGUUAGCACAUUUGUGAAGAUAUGCACUUGAGAGUCAGCAUGGUGUAGUGGUUUCAGUGCUGGAUUGAAAGCCUACUCAGUCAUAGAAACCCACUGGAUGACUUUGGGCAAGUCACCUUCUGUCAGCAUCAGCAGAUACCAAAGGCAAAUCUCCUCUGAGUAAAUAUUGCCAAGAAAUCCCGUAUAUUUGUGCCUUAGGGUAACCAUAAUUUGAAAACAAAUUGAAGGCAAAUAGGAACAAACAUUUUAAUUACUAUCAAGCCUAGUCUCUAACAGAAAAUAGUUGAGAGACCUUUUAUUUAGUAGGAGACAUUAACAUUGCCACCAUAUUGGUGCCACUGAGCAUAGAAUUAUGUGGAAUUUUGGGGUUUGUAGUUUGUUGAGGCACUAUAGCUCUCUGACUGAGAAUUCUAUACUUACCUCUCUCAUCUGCAGAUCCCAGGAUCCCAUAGGAUGGAGCCAGAGCAGUUACAGUGGAAUCAUUGUGCUAUAAUUGUGCAGUGAGGGAGGGCUCCAGAUGCUAUUGAGCUGCAACUGUGGGCAUUCCAUGUCAUUGACAUUGCUAAAUGAAGCUGAAAGGGGUAGAUUUUCAGCAGCAUCUGGAGGACUUUGCUUUGCCCAUUGCAGUCAAUUUCCCACUUUUAGAUGUGCACUUGAGCAUCAUGGUCUAGAGCAGUGGUUCUCAACCUGUAGGUCCCCAGGUGUUUUGGCCUACAACUCCCAGCCAGUUUACCAACUGUUAGGAUUUCUGGGAGUAGAAGGCCAAAACAUCUGGGGACCCACAGGUUGAGAACCACUGGUCUAGAGCUUCACUAUGAAGAGGCAUAUUUGUAACUUGCUUGCUCACUUCCUUCCCCCCUUAAACUGUUAUCUGCAGAAUUCUCCAUUGAGGUCGACCACUGAUUAAAUUGAUCUUAACCCUUCAAAUAAAAAUAAGAUGUAGGGCUUCCCAAAUAUGUCAAGUUGAAGGACAGCCAGAUUUUUUAUGGAGCACCAUGUCUUUAUCAAGUUAUGUCACCUGCAUAGUCCUUUAACUGCACAUUUAUGGAGCAACCACAUCUGGACUUCAUCAUAUUGAUUGCCCCCUCCCUCUGUCUUGUUCUGUUCUGCUGGCAAUUAACCGCAAUACUGAUGACACACAUGGCGCCUCACAGUGACCCAUGCACCCUCCACCAUCACAUGGGGGCAUUGAGGCAAGGCACAUUGGCUCUCUGUCCCUUCCCCCACCAGGCACGAAAAACUGUGGGAAUGUGCAUUGCCACAUUGCUGUUUCCCCCAUCAGAUGGGGGGUAAGGCUGAAAACAGUGGGUAGCCCUAUUGGAGCCACCCCAAACUCAAUUCACUUACCAUGGUUGGCGAAGAAAUGUCUUGCAAUGCUUUCUCACCACUUCACCUAUCAAUUGAGUGGGACCAUGGCUUGCAUCAUGUAAUGGCACUUGGCAGGAUCCGUGGCCGAAGAGGAGUAAGGGGCCAAUCAACCCUUGUGUAAUGAGGUGUUAACGACUUAGACGAAGGGUUAGAAGGCACGAUCAUCAAGUUUGCAGAUGACACCAAACUGGGAGGGAUAGCCAACACUCCAGAAGAAAGGAGCAGAAUUCAAAACGAUCUUGACAGACUAGAGAGAUGGGCCGAAACUAACAAAAUGAAGUUCAACAGGGAUAAAUGCAAGAUAUUUCAUUUCGGCAGAAAAAAUGGAAUGCAAAGAUACAGAAUGGGGGACACCUGGCUAGACAGCAGUACAUGUGAAAAAGAUCUUGGAGUCCUUGUGGACAACAAAUUAAACAUGAGCCAGCAAUGUGAUGCGGCUGCUAAGAAAGCCAAUGGGAUUUUGGCUUGCAUCAAUAGGGGUAUAGCAUCUAGAUCCAGGGAAGUCAUGCUACCCCUCUAUUCUGCCUUGGUCAGACCACACCUGGAAUACUGUGUCCAAUUCUGGGCACCACAGUUGAAGGGAGAUGUUGACAAGCUGGAAUGUGUCCAGAGGAGGGCAACUAAAAUGAUCAAAGGUCUGGAGAACAAGCCCUAUGAGGAGAGGCUUAAAGAACUGGGCAUGUUUAGCCUGCAGAAGAGAAGGCUAAGAGGAGACAUGAUAGCCAUGUACAAAUACGUGAGGGGAAGUCAUAGGGAGGAGGGAGCAAGCUUGUUUUCUGCUGCCCUGCAGACUAGGACACGGAACAAUGGCUUCAAACUACAGGAAGGGAAAUUCCACCUGAACAUCAGGAAGAACUUCCUCACUGUGAGAGCUGUUCGGCAGUGGAAUUCUCUCCCUCGGACUGUGGUAGAGGCUCCUUCUUUGGAGGCUUUUAAGCAGAGGCUGGAUGGCCUUCUGUCGGGGGUGCUUUGAAUGCGAUUUCCUGCUUCUUGGCAGGGGGUUGGAAUGGAUGGCCCAUGAGGUCUCUUCCAACUCUACUAUUCUAUGAUUCUAUGAGGUAGGAGCCCCCAGAUGGCAUAGUGGACUAAGUGACUUGAAGGUUGGGUUGCUGACCUGAAAGCUGCCAGGUCCGAAUCCCACCUGGGGAGAGUGUGGAUGAGCUCCCUCUAUCAGCUCCAGCUCCAUGCGGGGACAUGAGAGAAGCCUCCCACAAGGAUGGUAAAAACAUCAAAACAUCCGGGCAUCCCCUGGGCAACGUCCUUGCAGACGGCCAAUUAUCUCACUCCAGAAGCAACUCCGGUUGCUCCUGACACGAAAAAAAAAAAAAAUUCUAUGAGGUGGUAGUCUCACUCUUUAGCUUCCCAAGUCUAAGGGAGAGAGACAUUGUAUAUACAGCAGUACACACAAUGGGUCCCACCUUUAAUCAUUUAGUCUACAGAAGAAAAUUCAACCCUCUCUUCCUCACACUACUAUCUAUUGCAUUUUGAAUUGCUAUUUUGAUGAGCAUGCUAGGUAACAUAAAGUGUGGAGGAAAUUCCCAAGCAGAGAAAGUGUGUUCUUCUCUGUUCUUCCUCAUUAAACUGAUGCAAGAUCCUGGUGAUUUUUUCCAGUCUGACUCCUCUCCCUUCAUUAUUCUCAUACAGGAGAAUGUGUUUCUGUGAAAUCAGUCUGUUCAUCAUGUUUGCCUGUUACAUUUUUCUUCCAUGUUUAUUUAUUCUUUGGGAAAGAGUGGUUUGAAAGAUGUUGAUAGAUUUCUUUAGAGAGAAUCAGCCAUUCAAGGAAGAAUGCUUGAUGAACUAGGUAUCUGUUUAAGAUUCAAAAGUCAACUUCAUUUUUAUUGUUCAAAUAUUGACUCUAUCCAGAGGAAUUCUAAUCAGCAGGUUCCAUGCAAAGAAAAGGUAUUGAUUAGAGACAUGCAUUAAAAAUCAAACGUCUUACAUAUGUUUAUUACAUUGCUCAACAAAUUGUUGAACUAUGACUCUGGGGAUCAGGGUUUGAAUCUCUGCUUGGUCAUGAAAAUCAAAUGAGUUACCCUGAAUAAUUCAGUCACUCUUAGCUCUAGAAAACUCAAUGACAUUCAUCAAAGUGAUGCUGUAAGUUGGAAAUUACUUGAAGGCAAACAGCAAUAAAAAUGACAACAGAAGGCGUUUGUGAGAUCUUCUAGAUGUUGUCCUGCAAGUCUCAUGUGACUUAGCCAGUAGAGACAAUAAUGAAGGAUUGUGUAACAACUUUGGGAGGGCUACAUAUUUUUAAGCCCUGCAUAUACAAUUUGCAGGCAAAAUGAGUAUACCUGCAUGAUUAUGCGGGAUUUCAAACUGGAAAAAGAUAUCAGGACUAACCCACUAUAAGGAAAAUAACAUUCAUAGCUAUUUUAUUCUUUUCUGUUAUGAUAUCCUUGAUGACUUAUGGAUUAACCUACAUUACAGCAUUUUUCAAAUAGCUGGGGAGUGCAUUCACUCCACUGAGGCAGUCCACAUCUCCUGUUAUGGUUGAGCCUUAUGGCUCCAAUACUGGGAGACGUGGUCGUAAGACUCCUCGAGAGUCAGACUCUAUUGAGGAGCGAGAGGGGAAACGGCUGCGGGACAUAUUUGCAGAAUCAACUGACGAAGACUCCUUUGAGGGUUUUACUGAGAGAAUGGAGGAAGAGGUGGUUAGCUCAGAGGAGGAUGACAUGGAAUGGACUCGUGUGAGGGAGGAUUUGGGUGUUCCUGGUAAUGAUAGCAUGGGAAGCGACUGGCGGGUUGCAGGAUCGGACCCGUGGACGAGUUGGAGGGAUGGGACGGGAUCCACAGCUGGGGAUGCUGUGGGGCAUAGUCAAAGAUGUUUUAGCUCUGAUGAGGAUGAUGAUGAUGAGGCACCUGGAAUUAGGGUAACACCUGAUAGCGAUGAGGAGUUGUAACUGGCAUAAAAUGGGGUCUUGAAUCCAGGGCUAAUUGCGUUGGGCAAGGUAAUCUGGACGAACACUUGGGCUCUUGUUGGGAAUUUCCUGAAGACGGGUGUGUUUCGUUUGCUGACUACCUUGGACCUCCGUCGUCUUCUUGACGGACAUUAUUUACCUACUCGGAAUUGACGCUGGACUGGCUGACUGACUGACUGACUGACUGACUGACUGGCUGACUACGACCUUGGACUACCCUCUCUUUGGCUAUCGGAGGAUUUCGUGGAACCUAAGACGCCUGCACCUGGCCUUCGACCUCGGACCGGAUUGGGACCCCGCUGACCGCUGCAACCCUGAUUGAUGUGUUUGGACCCGGAGUUCGCCCGCUGCACGGAGGAGUAACAACUUAGUUGCUCAACCACAGCUGUUGAGUAGCAGAGAGGAAUCUGCUGCCAGUAUUUAUGUUCUAUUGAAUCUUUAUUUACCAGCUUUUGUUUGUUUAAAGUCCCAGGCUGAAGUAAGCAUUUUUGGUUUAACCCGGAUUAAACUCCUGUUUAAUCCGGUUUAGCUUUUGAACCGUUUUUGAGUGACUUUUCAUAUUGAAGGCGAGUGUUUGCCUAGCUCUUUGUUUUUUACGAGCAUUUUUGGUUCUGUAUCUUUAAUAAACUGUGUUGAAUCUUA